CCCGAAAUACUGUUGUUGCAGACAGCCAACCAUUAUUUACAAUGAGUUGAAAAUCGUUGCGAUAUGAGUCAAGGUUGAGCGCUUGUUGAUGACAUCACUCGCGAGGCUUUCGUCGCCACGGAAAUGAUGUCGUGACUGGGGGUAAUGGAGAAAAUGCUUCGUGUCUUUUAGAAGGAAAAUGCGUGCAUUAUUGUUGAGUUACUUUUAAGAAGUUGAUAAAAAUGUCGAAAUACAUUUUUAAAAGGAGUAUGUAAGUCGUCAGGAAAGAUGCUAAAAACUAGCAGCUGAUUCGCUAGAUUUUAUGCACUACAGGUGAAGUAACUCAAUCCAGUCCCUGAGGCCUGUUGGGGGGACCAUACCAAGGACUACUGGUGACAGCUAGCAGAAAGAACUACCCGGAUUCAUAUCACACUGCGGGAGGGUAAGACACAUUGGCACUGUUGAACAAUAGAGUUCGAGAGGAGAACUGGAAUUAACAGAAUUCUGGGGGCCAUCUCUCGAAUGAAGAAUACCUUACCUGUCCUUUCCUCACUGUUCUUGUUCAUAGAAGUGAAAAUGUGUCUGACUCUUGCUAAUGAUGUGUUUUCUGGAAGAGGGUGGGGCUUUAUAGGUGAGCUGUCCAUCCUGUGCUGUAUGGUUGGAGAUCUUAAUACCACACCAUGAACCCGAGAAGGCCAGAGGGUAAUAUUGACAUAGUUAAACAAGGAGAAAUUAGUAUUAACCAAGCAUAAGAGAUCACUUGAUCUGGAUAAACAGGAAGUGAGAGUAGGCUGGGGAGGGAUGUCUCAGUGGAGUUCUAUGUAAACCAAGUGGUGUCUGACUCCUUGGCAGUACAGGACUAAGAGUAGCUAUUAUGGAAGACAUAUAUGCAAGUCUCUGUGUAGUUCAUGGAAACAAGUUAUAGCUCACAUCAUGUGAGAAGGCUACAUAAAUCUACAUACCCAGCAUGGAAGGAGAUGGAGUGUAGUGAAAGUAAGGGUUUCAGUUGAUAACCUAGUGCAUUCCAGGUAGAAAAAGUUAGAGCAGCUGGUUGCUCUAUAGGCAGCAGAAUACAAGCAUUGUCCUGGACAAAGCAGAUACUGCCUGUGGAAUUGUCCAGAGCCAAGAGCCGGUGUGGAUAGUUCAGAAAUGGAAUUAUUCACCUAAGGGAACAGCCUGUAUAGUAAAGCUAUUCAUGAAAGCAGGAAAGCCAGAUAACAAUGUGUGGAUUUGCACUAUUUAUAUCCACAUGUUCCUCUAAAAUCUAGGCUUCCUCCUUUCACAGUGAUAAGAGAUUAUUACUGUCUGGCCCGGUAUAGUGCUUAUGGGAAAUAUGUAGGGGAAGUCAGUACCUGCAAUGUGACAGAGAAUAUUACUACUGAUGGGGUGAUGAGUGAUUUGGCAGACUGGUUGAGCUCUGGGGAUUUCAGUAAGAUAAGGAGGCUCAGGGCUCACAUCUGUUGAAUGUGUGGGAGAAUGACAUGAUGGCCGAGUAUUACUGGCUAAUUGAACAGAGGUAUGUGUACUGGUACAUUUUGAGAAUGGCUUUUACACUCAUUGUGUUGACUAAACAGGAGAAAAGAAGUACUCCGUCUGGGUCUUUUGAUGAUAGGGUUUCUAUUAAUAACAUUGUGGUUCCAAGGGUGGCAGAUGAGAUCAAAGCUAUAAAUUAGAUCCUGGCAGGAUUAGAGUCAAGAUUUGUUUUUUUGGUCCACUCUCAAUGAGAAUGUGGAUUGGAUCAAUUAUAUCUAUUAAAAAUCCACAGCGCUUCACCAAUUAUUUUAGAGAUGUAAUGAAUGACUUGGCAGAAUAGAAUAGUCUUGGAUGUUUGCUGGCUGAAGAGGGUGGGGUGUAUAGGUAGUUUGACUCCAGGAUAUACAGUUAGGAUGGACCAGUGACCAAGGCCUUGUCUGGUUUACACACCCUAGUUCACAAGUUGGAAAUAAACUCAGGGGUGGAUACUUCUCUGACUAAAUUGGGUUGACUGUGUGUCUGGAAGAUGGAAAAAUGUUAUGAUCGCUGUGUUAUGGACUAUAUUCACCUGUGUGACUGUGUUAGUUUUGUACGGACGUGGUUGAUUGAGUGUAUGAAAGUUAUCAUUUCCAGGACUCUGGAGAAAUUGAUGACACUUCAGAUGGAGAUAUAUGGACCAAUCCUAAGCUCUGACCAGUGGAAUACAAAAUACAUUGCUUGGACGUAAUAGAAGAAUCCGGAUCCUUUCACUCGCGAGACCAAAUUUGAUGUUUAGGAAAUGUAGAUGUUUUCUUGUUUCAAUGUAUAGACUGUUUUUUCAUGAAGAUUAACAGAAAAUCCUGAUAAGUAGAAUGAAGAUUCUGAUGUAGGUUAAAACAGUCAUGGGCGUUGAUUAUGUACAUAUGAGUAUUGGUUUGUCUUAUUCUUAGGAUAUCAUUGAAGUUUUCUUUUAGUGUUUAAUGAAAGUAUGAAUUGUUUAGUCAUUUUCAGGGUGGAUUGUUGAAUAUAUUAUGGAUAAACAAUAUCCCCGUUUUAAAUAGAAUUGUGUCUAGGUAAACUUAUACUCUGUAUGUUUAAUAGACUAUGAGUUCAUAAGAAGAAAUGUGACAGGAGAAAGGAGUAAUAAAACCAUUUCCAACUGGGCAGGAACUGGGUUGUGGACUGUGUAAACACAUGGUCGUUAGCCUAUGGUUGACCCAACCUGAAACGUAGCUCUGUGGUUUUUAGAUUAGGCAGUGAGUGCAUUCCUAGGGUUUCUGUUAAUUAAACCUGUCAGUUCAGUGGUGAUCGAUAAUGUUGAGGAGUCAAAAGUUAUCUGGGAGUGUGUUAGUAAGGUAGAAUGAACUCUUCACCUUACUUUGUCCUGUCGAGAGGGGGGGGGGGGGGGUUCGUUUAAGACAGUGAAAUGACGUCAUGAUCUGUAUUUAAACUGAGGCAUGUGUUUUGAGUGGGAGCGCGCUCCGAGAAUAAAUUCUAUUACCUAUUAUUUAAA